UACGAAGGGGGCUAGCGUUGCUCGGAAUCACUGGGCGUAAAGCGCACGUAGGCGGACUCUUAAGUCAGGGGUGAAAUCCUGGAGCUCAACUCCAGAACUGCCUUUAAUACUGGGAGUCUUGAGUUCGGGAGAGGUGAGUGGAACUGCGAGUGUAGAGGUGAAAUUCGUAGAUAUUCGCAAGAACACCAGUGGCGAAGGCGGCUCACUGGCCCGAUACUGACGCUGAGGUGCGAAAGCGUGGGGAGCAAACAGG
rnacentral:rRNA from 1 species